rnacentral:lncRNA from 1 species
AUUUCUAUUUUAUUAUUUUAUGCUUUUUGCUUCUCAGGAUAUAUCUCAAUGAAGAGCAAAGAUGAUAAAGUUCCCAGUUUAAUAGAACUGUAAAUAAAAUGUUACUAGCUCCUGUAGAACACUGUCCUCGAAUGCAUCCUACGACUAUUUUAGAACAUGCUUUGAAUAGUCCCAGUAGGCUACCUGAGCAGGAAUUUAUUCUUACUUGACAGCAGGUCCAUGCCAUUAAUA